UUUUUACAGUGAGUGUGCUGUGUUGUGUCUUUUGGGGAGUGUUGCGAACGGCCAUCAUACUGUUGCUGGGUGUGAUUUUUAUCUCUUGCGAGCAGAAACCAGACUGUCGCCAUGUUUUUUGAUUGUGUGUCUACUAUGGAAUCCACAGGGGAGAAAGAGGCAGUCUCACUGUGCAGUGUAAUAGACAGCAAAGAAGAACCAAUAUUAACCUACCAGCAACCAGAAACUGAACAGAUCUGCAUUAAAGAAGAAAAUGUUGUGUGACAAAAAGAUCCUGUGACAGGCUGAAAACCUGUUACGAAAACAUGAAAAGAAGACUUCAGAAAGAUCUUGCAGAAGAAGAAGUGGAAGUGUAUAAAACAGGUUGGGGGGAAGCCUACCCAAAAAACCAACAAAUGCGUACGAUUCUGAUGCACAGUUUAGCAUGACUGUGGAUGUUGUUAACAUAGAGUGCAGUGCUGUGCAGUGAGAACACGCCAUCUGCUUCAGUUGUCGAGUUAGCAGAGUGCACACAACCUAGCACUUCCCACACACCUGACGUAAUACAAAGUAAAGAGACACCAAAGAAUGUUCUGGUGGCUGUCACCCAGCUGCAGACUGUUUCGCAGUCUCCUGAUCCACCCAAAGAAAACAUUUUCACACCGAAAAAUAAAUGGCAUCGUCACAGGAUGCCUGCAAAACCGGGGCCAUCAGGUUCGGGAACAGUAAUUGAAAAUGUGUGCAAGAAGAGAGUGGAACUACUGGAGGCCCAAUUACACAUAAUGAAGGCUGAACAUAAGAAGGAGCUGAGGAUUAAAAAUUUAAAGAUUCUGGCCCUAAAAGAAAAACUAAAAUACUGGAAGAAGAAAAUUGCCAGUAACAUGACUUUUUCUCCUAUUACAGUGAAUUUUUGUAAUUUUUUAUGCUGUUUUGUAUUCUAGCUAAUGUAUCAAAGUUGUCUCACAGGUGAAACUGUUUCUGUGUUUGUCCCAUUAGUGAUAACUGCUACUAUCCUAAUUGUUGUCUGUCUAAUAUCUGCUUAUACACGGUGUUUCAAAAAUGACCGGUAUAUUUGAAACGGCAAUAAAAACU